AUGUAAUGUUCCUUGUGACUGUUGAAAUGUAAUGUUCCUUGUGACUGUUGAAAUGUAAUGUUUCUUGUGGCUGUUGAGAAUGUAAUGUUACUUGUGACUGUUGAGAAUGUAACUUUCCUUGUGACUGUUGAGAAUGUAAUGUUCCUUGUGACUGUUGAGAAUGUAAUAUUCAUUGUGAUCCUUGACCAUGUAAUAUUCCUUGUGACUCUGUUGAUAAUGUAAUAUUCCUUGUGACUGUUGAGAAUGUAACGUUCCUUGUGACUGUUGAGAAUGUAACGUUCCUUGUGCCUGUUGAGAAUGUAAUGUUCCUUGUGACUGUUGAGAAUGUAAUAUUCAUUGUGAUCCUUGACCAUGUAAUAUUCCUUGUGACUCUGUUGAUAAUGUAAUAUUCCUUGUGACUGUUGAGAAGGUAAUAUUCAUUGUGAUCCUUGACAAUGUAACAUUCCUUGUGACUGUUGAGAAUGUAACGUUCCUUGUGACUGUUGAGAAUGUAACGUUCCUUGUGACUGUUGAGAAUGUAACGUUCCUUGUGACUGUUGAGAAUGUAACGUUCCUUGUGACUCUGUUGAUAAUGUAAUAUUCCUUGUGACUGUUGAGAAUGUAACGUUCCUUGUGACUGUUGAUGAUGUAACGUUCCUUGUGACUGUUGAGAAUGUAACGUUUCUUGUGACUGUUGAGAAUGUAACGUUCCUUGUGACUGUUGAGAAUGUAACGUUCCUUGUGACUCCACUUGUAAUGCUGAGUGAACUUGACAGAGUGAUUUGCUGAAGUAUGAGUCAUAAUGUACACCAUAUUGUUUCUUACAAAUAACUACCAUCCAUACAACUUUUGAUGUGUUAUUAAUGGAAUGGCUUAUCCAAAGCUUUUCUGAAGAAUUGUGGACACUGUAAGUGAACAGGAAUUAAUCUGUUACCUCGGUAAUAGUAAUUAUUCUAUCAUUUUAAUAAAGAACCAUAUUAACAACAGUAUUAUUCUAAUUAUGUCUUAGUAAUUGCUAGACAUAAUAAUAUAUUUGAGUAUAUAUCAAUAAGCUAGAGCUCUGUAUUCAGGUUAAAUGAUUAAGUUCUUUUCAAUAGGUCUAGCAACAGUUAAGGUCAAAAUAGAACUCCAGCAUUUUUUUAAAAGAAAGCGUCAAUGUGAUAAUCUAUUGUAUAUUUUAUAGUACUUUUGCUGUUUCUCUAUUUUUAGUGUUUUUUUUUAAAUAUAUGUUUUGAAUUUUAAAGAAAAUAUCUUAACUCAAAAAUCUUUUAUACUAUAGGAUAUUAAAUACAAGAAAUAAAAUCUAUAAAUGAUAUUUGUUGGUAUUCUAAUUGUUAAAUGAGAACCUUUUAAUGAGGUUUGUUGCUAUUUUAAUUGUUAAAAGUUCUUAUCUUGAUCAAUACCAAAAAUCUUGUCAUUUUAAUGAUGUAAAUAAAAUGAAAUGAUAAUGGAGGGUUUUAAUUUUUUACUGAGAAUCACACAAAUUAUUAAAACAUGAAAUUAAAAUUCCCUUACUUUCUAAAACAUUCAGUUUAGACUUGAAGAAUAAAAAUUGUACUAAUAAUCCUUCAUUAUUUAAAAGUUAACAUGAAAGUUAAAAAUACAUAAGUUAUGAAAUAAAAGUCUUAUAGAAUGGUUUUAAAUGAAUUUGUUUUACGUUCAUCAGGCAUAACUUGCUAUUUUGAGAAUGUUGUAAACAUAGAAUUCAACAAAAGGUCAGAGCAGAGUUCCAUAGAAUGCCAUUUACUGUGCCAUCUUUUUCUUGUUGGCCUCUAAGAAGGACAGAGAUGUGAUCUUGUAAGUACACUGUUUAGUCAGAAACAAUGUAUUUAUUUAAACAUGAAUUAUGAAAGUCUACACAAAAAGAAUUAAUUUUAACAUUUUGAAAUGUAAAAUAGAAGAUAUUGUUAAUGUCAUUGUGCAAAGUAACCUGACAUAACAUUUAUUGAGUACAUAGGUUGCAGUAAACAGUCAGGAAUAUCAGACCCUUAAUAUUUCUGUUGAGUACACAGGUUACAGUAAACAGUCAGGUAUAUCAGACCCUUAAUAUUUCUGUUGAGUACACAGGUUACAGUAAACAGUCAGGAAUAUCAGACCCUUAAUAUUUCUGUUGAGUACACAGGUUACAGUAAACAGUCAGGAAUAUCAGACCCUUAAUAUUUCUUUUUU